rnacentral:rRNA from 1 species
UUGACCUCGGAUCAGGUAGGAAUACCCGCUGAACUUAAGCAUAUCAAUAAGCGGAGGAAAAGAAACCAACAGGGAUUGCCCCAGUAACGGCGAGUGAAGCGGCAACAGCUCAAAUUUGAAAUCUGGCUUCGGCCCGAGUUGUAAUUUGUAGAGGAUGCUUCUGGCGCGGUGCCUUCCGAGUUCCCUGGAACGGGACGCCAUAGAGGGUGAGAGCCCCGUAUGGAUGGAUACCUAGCCUGUGUGAAGCUCCUUCGACGAGUCGAGUAGUUUGGGAAUGCUGCUCAAAAUGGGAGGUAUAUCUCUUCUAAAGCUAAAUACCGGCCAGAGACCGAUAGCGCACAAGUAGAGUGAUCGAAAGAUGAAAAGCACCUUGAAAAGGGGGUUAAACAGCACGUGAAAUUGUUGAAAGGGAAGCGCCCAUGACCAGACUUGUGCCCGGCGGAUCACCCAGCGUUCUCGCUGGGGCACUCCGCCGGGUCCAGGCCAGCAUCGGUUUUCGCCGGGGGAUAAAGGCUCUGGGAACGUAGCUCCUCCGGGAGUGUUAUAGCCCUCUGCGUAAUACCCUGGCGGGGACCGAG